UGGGGAAUAUUGCACAAUGGGCGCAAGCCUGAUGCAGCCAUGCCGCGUGUAUGAAGAAGGCCUUCGGGUUGUAAAGUACUUUCAGUCGGGAGGAAGGUGGUAAGGUUAAUAACCUUAUCAAUUGACGUUACCGACCGAAGAAGCACCGGCUAACUCCGUGCCAGCAGCCGCGGUAAUACGUAGGUGGCAAGCGUUGUCCGGAUUUAUUGGGCGUAAAGCGAGCGCAGGCGGUUUCUUAAGUCUGAUGUGAAAGCCCCCGGCUCAACCGGGGGGGGUCAUUGGAAACUGGGGGACUUGAGUGCAGAAGAGGGGAGUGGAAUUCCCUGUGUAGCGGUGAGAUGCGUAGAUAUAUGGGGGAACACAAGUGGCGAAGGCGGCUCUCUGGUCUGUAGCUGACGCUGAGGCUCGAAAGCGUGGGGAGCAAACAAG
rnacentral:rRNA from 1 species